rnacentral:rRNA from 1 species
UACGAAGGGUGCAAGCGUUACUCGGAAUUACUGGGCGUAAAGCGUGCGUAGGCGGUUCGUUAAGUCUGAUGUGAAAGCCCUGGGCUCAACCUGGGAAUGGCAUUGGAUACUGGCGACCUAGAGUGCGGUAGAGGGGUGUGGAAUUCCCGGUGUAGCAGUGAAAUGCGUAGAUAUCGGGAGGAACAUCUGUGGCGAAGGCGACACGCUGGACCAGCACUGACACUGAGGCACGAAAGCGUGGGGAGCAAACAGG